GUGUAUGGCGAACAUUUGUUUUUCUGUCAUUAACGUUAUAGAUGCUAGUUUGGUGAAAGUACACACUGAGUGUUUCAAAUCAUUCAGAAGAGAUGCUGUUUUUAAGGGCAGUUUAUUAAAGAAGACCUGACAUGGAUGACUUCCAAUGAGAAACGACUGCUAAUACUUAUAUAAAUUCAUUACAGAAGGACCCUACCAGACUAUUUGAAUACGGCAUACCCAUGAAUUCUGGAACUGUUGUUCCUUAACCCAGUUUGGAGGAUAAGAGCUUACCAACUAGUUAUAAAUAUGCUGAGGUGAUGUAUUGCAAAAUAGCCAACAUACAACAAUUAAAGGAUAAUUGCAGACUACAUCCUGAUGAAGAUAUGGAUGACCCUCUGUCUGGUCAACAAUAGUUUAAAUAUGGAUGGGACAGUGAUGUGGCAGCUCUUCCCUGGCUCAUUCAAUUCUUGCCUUCAUUUGUGAAAGGAAGAAAGACUAGAGAGGGUCAAUGUGC